rnacentral:rRNA from 1 species
AUGCAGCGACGCCACGNUGAGGGAUGACGGCCUUCGGGUUGUAAACCUCUUUCAGCAGGGAAGAAGCGAGAGUGACGGUACCUGCAGAAGAAGCGCCGGCUAACUACGUGCCAGCAGCCGCGGUAAUACGUAGGGCGCAAGCGUUGUCCGGAAUUAUUGGGCGUAAAGAGCUCGUAGGCGGUCUGUCGCGUCUGGUGUGAAAUCCCAUGGCUCAACUGUGGGCUUGCAUCGGGUACGGGCAGACUAGAGUGCUGUAGGGGAGACUGGAAUUCCUGGUGUAGCGGUGGAAUGCGCAGAUAUCAGGAGGAACACCGAUGGCGAAGGCAGGUCUCUGGGCAGUUACUGACGCUGAGGAGCGAAAGCAUGGGGAGCGAACAGGAUUAGAUACCCUGGUAGUCCAUGCCGUAAACGUUGGGCACUAGGUGUGGGGACAGUUCCACUGUUUCUGUGCCGCAGCUAACGCAUUAAGUGCCCCGCCUGGGGAGUACGGCCGCAAGGCUA